rnacentral:rRNA from 1 species
UACGUAGGGUGCAAGCGUUGUCCGGAAUUAUUGGGCGUAAAGAGCUCGUAGGCGGUUUGUUGCGUCGGCUGUGAAAUCCCGAGGCUCAACCUCGGGUCUGCAGUCGAUACGAGCAAACUAGAGUGUUGCAGGGGAGACUGGAAUUCCUGGUGUAGCGGUGAAAUGCGCAGAUAUCAGGAGGAACACCGGUGGCGAAAGGCGGGUC